AAGUCGUAACAAGGUUUCCGUAGGUGAACCUGCGGAAGGAUCAUUAAUGAAUUCUUUCAUAACCAUUUAUCUGUGCAUUUGUAAACCUAGCUCUGUCUUUAUGGCAUGGGCUUUAUCUCCUAUUAUCUUUGAUUGUUGAAUGUCUGAUUAUGUUUAUUAAUCAUUUUAAAACUUGCAGCAACGGAUCUCUAGGCUCUCU
rnacentral:misc_RNA from 1 species